AGACAUUGUAUUCUCUGCAGACACAAUGAUCGUCGGAAAAUUAGGGAUUGGGAACGAAGCACUAGAGCUUCGGCGUAAACUAACACCAUCAGGAAGGAAUAUUUUUUUGAGAGAAAAAGGUGAGACGGAAGAAGAGCAAACAUAGAAGGUGCUAGUUUCUCUUAACUAGAAGCCAAUUAAAGUGAUUGUAGAUUUGAGAAAUCUACAAGGCCAAUCUUGAGUUGACGUGUGGAAGAACGAAGGUAAUAUGAACUAUCUAUUUCCUUGGUAGAUUUCUUUGAGAUUCUCUUCCUUAACCCAAUACUUAGCCUAUUACUAGUUAUUGUUUUACUAAGGGUAGAAACAAGGAAAAGGAAUUUGAAGUUUUUUCAAGAUAACACGGUUAUGAAUUUUCUAUUGGAUGAAUAAAGAUUAUAUAAGUCCAUUAGCAAGCACUUUAGUGCAGAGAUUAUGAGUGCUUGUGAAACAUCAAGUGAAGACAAGAGUAUUGUUAACUAUUUUGGUCCAACAAAUCAGUUUCCUUUUUUGAUCCUCUACAUAUAAUACUAUUAGUCCAAGUAUAAGAACAAACAGAGAAUAUGAUAUAGCUUCUUUUCCAUUUGAUUAAUAGCGAGUAAGUGGUCACACUUUGAGGAAAGAAAAUUUGACUGGAUUCAUUUGGCUUUACAGGUAGUUCACAAUGUUGAUUUGUCUAUUGGUUAUGCAAUAAUAUAGGUAGUGGCAGAAAUCGAACUAAGUGCUCGAAGUGGCGCGUUUGGUAUUUCGAUACGAGUACUGUGAUUAGUAAUCUUACCGUAACUUGUGUUUUUAUAAUUUCCAUAGUUUAUACAUGAUUUUGCAAAUAGUAAUUGUUAUCGAAUGUUUGAAAUUUGCCUGUGGGACAAAUCGUUUACUUGAUAUGGUACUAAACAGUUUACUUGAGAUAUUUACAGUUAUUUAAAAUGUUUUCACUGCUACUAGACACGUUUUACUAUUAUUUGAGAUAUGAUUACUAUUACCGAAAAUGAGAUUACAUUAUUUGAUAAGAAUUGAAAUGCCCAGUACUAUUUUGAAAAUACUUUCCUAUGAAUAUUUACUACUUACAAAGAAAAGUAUAAAUGGGAGGAGACUUUGAAGGAUCCCGUACCUAACGGUGGGUUCGUUAGACCUGGUGCACCUUGUAUGUACAGAUUACCGAUUACAGUUAUAACCCUCGCUAGUGGGAAGGUAGAACUAGCAUACAUUUAUAGUUUUCCCUCGAAUAGGGACCUACAAUUAUAUUUGACUCCUUUUACGAAGGGGUCCCCACAGUGAUACAGAUCACAUGAUCAUUUCUUGGAAACCUCCCAAACAUAAAGAAUUGAUAUGACAUAGUGCUUACUGAGUUUAUUACUGAAUUGUUUAAUUGAUUUUUUUCUACAGGAAACACAUGAUGAGACUGAUUAUUGUUACCGUUUUGAAAGUACAUUUAAUUUUUUUAAUAAGUUUUUAUUACUAUUAUACAUCCAUGUAUUUCUGACUUGUCCCCAAUUAAAAACGGUUGUGGUUAAGUAUUAUUAUUCACUGAGCUAGCGACUCACUCCCCGCUAUUUUUUUUACAGAGACAGCAAUUGACGCUAGCGAGAAUUUCAUUAAUUAGAGUAUACGAGUUGACAGUCCCUCAUGAGUCCCAUACUAGUUCGCGUGGGAAAAAAGUUUAUUUAUUGUUAUCGUCUUUUCUUUUGAACUCUUAGAGCCGCUCCAUAGUUAUUUUUAUUAGUGUCAUGAGUAUUCAUUCGUUAUGUUGGACUAGUUAGUAGUAUUGCACUUUUUUUCCGUAUUUUUGAGAUGGGAUUAGUAUUAUUAUAUUGGUAAGGUUGGUAGUAUUAGUGAAAACUCGUUUUCAGUUAGUUGAUGAAGACUGUGACUGGUUUAGGUGAAUAUUGGUUGGUUGUUAUUUGUUUAUGAGACAGGAAAACUUUUUGAAAAGUCCUAAAACAGGAAAAAUUCUGUCCGAUUUUCUGUAAAAUACCGAUGAGACUUACUUGGGAGUACUUGCUCCUAAGCGCCGAUCAUGAUCCUAAAUUGGUUCGUGACACCUUCUAGUAUGUUUUUCCUUAUUUCCUUAUUUUUUUGACAGGCAAUGAUGUAUAGAAUUAUUCAGUAUCGUAUUCAAAUCUUG
rnacentral:lncRNA from 1 species